ensembl:lncRNA
UUGGGUUUUUAUAAACAGAUUUUAAUUUUUUUUUUUUAAUAUAUGUAUUUUUUACAUGUUACAAUUUAUAGGCAAAAAAAAAAGAGAGGGAAAAUAGGAACCUUACAUGCAUACGAACACACCAGCGCACGCAAAACAAUACUACAGUAAUACAGCUCAAUAAAAAUUUAAAUCAACCAAAUCAUAGCAAUUCCUCAUUUUUAUGUACAGUUUAUAUUUCUAUUAUAUAGCUGCAUUAACCAAAUAAGUUGCAAUAAGCAAUACAAAUAUGAUUAGAAUCUAUUAAAUCUGAUGACAAUUAAAAUCACUCAAAACUGAGAGAGAGAAAAAAAAUCCCUUUCGCCAAUAAAAUGUAAAACUUUUUUUUUUUCCUGGAAUAUAAACUCCUUUCUUUUUUUUCUUUUUUUUUAAAGCAAUAAAAAUACUUAGAAAAUAAAACUUCAAGUAAAGAGAAACAUUUCUAAUUUAAGCCAAAAAUCAAAGUUUGUUAAAUCUGUUAAAACAGAAGAUUAAAGGAUCCUACGUUCUCAUAUCCAAAACUUUACAUUUUAUUCCAAUCAUGCACUAGCUUGGCAUUUGAGCAUGAUACUGUUGUUUUUUCCCCCGAUAACACUCAUUUCAUACUCAAUCCCAAACACUAUGCAUCAAUAAACUACAUAUAGUGAAAUUUUUUGUUGUCAUCUCAAGUGUAAAAGAGUAUUACAAUAUAAUAAUCUGUGUAAUCUGCUCAAGUUUGUUUCCUUUUCCUCAAAUAAACAAUUACGUUUCCUCCUCAUAUAUCAGUGAUCAUGUCAUUAUGAUCAUAGGCAAACACACAAAAGUUAUGACACCACUGAAAUAAAAAUAAUGUUGGGGAUAUAUUUCCUGAUAUAAUUAGGGUAAAAACUUUGAAAUGUAAGGCACCCCAGACGAUAAAACAAAGAAAUUUACAUUCAACACGGGAACACACAGUCCACAAACUACACUCUAUGCAGCGUUCGUAAACUUGACAGCAGAAUGGUUUUUGACUCCAAUGAUUUUCAGUCCACCAAUUGCGCCUAUUUAAAAUUGAAUAACUAUUAAAAAUGUCGAGCUCUCAAGAUUUAUUUAGUUUGGUGGAUGUGCAUCUUUGGUUUUGCUAGCCAUUUCAGAUUGUGGAUUCUUCUUCACCUUCUCCUUCAUGGCUGAAGUCGCUUCUUUGCCUGUGGUGCUCUUGGCAUUCACUUUCUGAUUGGUUGAAGCUGAUUUGGCCAGCCCUGCAAUGGCCCGUUGAUUGGUUGAGGUCAAUUUGCUGUUUGCUGGCCCAUGACUGAGUUUAGUGUUUGCUGGAGAAGCUGACCGAUUGGUUGAAUCCUUUUUCACUUCCC